AGAACAACUGCCCAUGAUCCUGUCAAAAUAUCAUUGCCUAUGUAACCGAUGGGUUGGCCAUGCCCAUAUCGCCAGGGGGUGACAACUGAUUCCAGCGCGAUCCUGCAGGAGUUGGCGUCCAUCGCACAUGUCGUGCCAAGAGGCCACAGUGCGUGACGCAACCCAAGUGCCACUGAAAACCACAGGCUCUGUGGGCUCUAUGUUCCCUAUAUGUUAGCUCUGGAGCCGUUUAUUACUGCUGCUUCCUGACUACCGGCUGUCAUGACCACAUAUGAUGAAGUUUCAGAGGCAGGACAGGAGGGAGAAGAGGAGCAGAGAAAGAAGAGUAGGGGACACUGCUGGAGUUUGUUUUGAUGCUCACUUCAUCUUUAAUAGUUGAAAAUUAGAGGUUGAAGUUAGUUAAUGCAGCUUUAAGACUACAGAUUAAUUUCUGCUCAUACAUCACUGUCUGGUUUGGCUCAGCAACCAAACAGGACAGGAACAGACUCCAGUGGACAGUCAGGACUGCAGGGAGAACCAUCGGUGCCAGCCUGUCCUCCAUGGAGGACCUGUACACCUCACGGGUCAGAAGGAGGGCGCAGAAGAUCUCUGCAGACCCCUCACACCCUGGACAUAAUCUGUUUGAACUCCUCCCCCCUGGAUGGCGCUACAGGUCACUGUACGCCAAGACAACCAGGCACAAGGAUGGUUUCUUCCUUCGGGACAUUGCUCUGAACAGUUAAUUUAUAUUUAUGUAUAACAAGAUACAACAAAUACUACAGUGCAUUACCUGUUUUGUUUGUAAUUCAGUUGUUUUGUUUGGUGCACAGUGGGGGCCAGUGAGUUGGGAGUCAAAUUUCCUGUAUUUUAAAUAGUACGUGGCAAUAAAGUUUGAUUGAUUGAACUCAUCUAAGACCUGAUACUUGGCAGGAGAUCUGACCACUGUUCUCAUAGAUUUUUUGUUUUGUUUUGUUUAAUUAAAAGUCCCAACGCAUGCCACCUACUGUGAAAUGCAUUUAAAACCCUGAUGAUUCAGUUACAAUUACACAAAAGUCAUGAAAAUGAUCAGCCAAUGCUCUAAAUUAAAAUUUAAUGAUCCAACCUGUUGUAGUUUAGCACAAAUGUAUAAAGCACAUUGAAUUUAUUCAAAUAUUAAAAACAUGUUUGCAAAAAAGGUAGACAGCAAACAUCAUAUUAACACAACAUCUGCAUGGGUGGGGUGGGGGCAAAACAGUAAUUUCAAUACAAAAGGAGAAUCUGUGGAACAAACUUAACAUGUCAAACAAUUCAGAAAUUCAGCAGAUGCUUUUAAGGGAAAUAUACAAUUGUGAGACAAAUUUAUAUCCUACUGUUGAUAGAACUUACAUUUUUGAUUCAAUGUACUGUAAAAUUAUAGUAAAAUGGUAUCUCACACAGUAUUACAGAUCACUGUCUGAAAUCAUCAGGCAGACAGGUUCAAGGACGAGGACGUCGCAGAGACAGAACAUUUUAUCACUCCAAUAAAAACUAAAGCAGCCAGUUUGAAAAAACCAAGAAGAAAUAAAAAAACAACAAAGCUGAAGUUUAAAGUUUAGUAGCAGUUUAGUUGUCGCUGACAUGGCAGCU